UUUAUAUGGGUAAAACAUGCAUG
rnacentral:snRNA from 1 species